rnacentral:rRNA from 1 species
CAUGCAGGCGGUCAGGCGCGUUGAGUGUGACAGCGGAGGGCUUAACUCUCCGAGCACAGGCAAGACGGCGUGACUUGAGGGCUCGAGAGGGACACGGAAUUCCGGGUGGAGUGGUGAAAUGCGUAGAGAUCCGGAGGAACACCGAAGGCGAAGGCAGUGUCCUGGCGAGUACCUGACGCUGAGGUGCGAAAGCCAGGGGAGCGAACGGGAUUAGAUACCCCGGUAGUCCUGGCCGUAAACGAUGACCACCAGGUGUGGGAGGUAUCGACCCCUUCUGUGCCGUAGGGAACCCCUUAAGUGGUCCGCCUGGGGAGUACGGUCGCAAGAUUAAA